CCCUUAGAUGUUCUGGGCCGCACGCGCGCUACACUGAUGCAUUCAACGAGCCUAUCCUUGACCGACAGGUCCGGGUAAUCUUUGAAUCUGCAUCGUGACGGGGAUAGAUUAUUGCAAUUAUUAAUCUUCAACGAGGAAUGCCUAGUAGGCGCAAGUCAUAAGCUCGCGUUGAUUACGUCCCUGCCCUUUGUACACACCGCCCGUCGCUACUACCGAUUGAACGGUUUAGUGAGGGCCUCGGAUUGGUCUCGGCCCGCUCUUUACCGGGCGGCGCCGUUGGUCGAGAAGACGCUCGAACUUGAUCGUUUAGAGGAAGUAAAAGUCGUAACA
rnacentral:rRNA from 1 species